GACGAACGCUGGCGGCGUGCCUAACACAUGCAAGUCGAACGGGAUCCAUGAGAGCUUGCUCUCGGAAGAUCUAGUGGCGAACGGGUGAGUAACACGUGAGAAACCUGCCCUGGAGUGGGGAAUAACUCGGGGAAACCCGAGCUAAUACCGCAUACCCUUGGAUGAUCGCAUGGUCGACCAAGGAAAGAUUUAUCGCUCUAGGAGGGUCUCGCGGCCUAUCAGCUAGUUGGUGGGGUAAUGGCCUACCAAGGCAACGACGGGUAGCUGGUUUGAGAGAACGAUCAGCCACACUGGGACUGAGACACGGCCCAGACUCCUACGGGAGGCAGCAGUGGGGAAUCUUGCGCAAUGGGCGAAAGCCUGACGCAGCAACGCCGCGUGCGGGAUGACGGCCUUCGUGGUUGUAAACCGCUUUCAGCAGGGACGAAAAUGACGGUACUGCAGAAGAAGCCCCGGCUAACUACGUG
rnacentral:rRNA from 1 species